AGGACGAACGCUGGCGGCGUGCCUAACACAUGCAAGUCGAGCGAUGAAACCCUUCGGGGUGGAUUAGCGGCGGACGGGUGAGUAACACGUGGGUAACCUGCCUCAAAGAGGGGGAUAGCCUCCCGAAAGGGAGAUUAAUACCGCAUAACAUUAUUUCUUCGCAUGAAGAGAUAAUCAAAGGAGUAAUCCGCUUUGAGAUGGACCCGCGGCGCAUUAGCUAGUUGGUGAGGUAAUGGCUCACCAAGGCGACGAUGCGUAGCCGACCUGAGAGGGUGAUCGGCCACAUUGGAACUGAGAUACGGUCCAGACUCCUACGGGAGGCAGCAGUGGGGAAUAUUGCGCAAUGGGGGAAACCCUGACGCAAGCAACGCCGCGUGGGUGAAGAAGGCCUUCGGGUUGUAAAGCUCUGUCUUCUGGGACGAUAAUGACGGUACCAGAGGAGGAAGCCACGGCUAACUACGUGCCAGCAGCAGC
rnacentral:rRNA from 1 species